GGAGAGGACGCGAAUUGGAAAGCAAGCCAACUCAAAAUCGGCUGCCCUGGAAGGGGUUGUGGGUUCGAGUCCCACCCUCUCCG
rnacentral:tRNA from 1 species